rnacentral:snRNA from 1 species
GAAGCAUCUCCUUGUAGCGUUCCCAAGCUUCACAUAAAGUUUCACCAGACAACUGAGAGAAUUGAGUGAUAGCAUUCCUGAUUGC